GUGGUUGUAGCUCAGUGGUAAAGCGCUUGCCUUGCAUGUGUGAGGCAUUGGGUUCUAUCCUCAACACCACA
rnacentral:tRNA from 1 species